GGCAUGCCUAACACAUGCAAGUCGAACGCCCUCUUCGGAGGGAGUGGCGCACGGGUGCGUAACGCGUGGGAACCUGCCCUUAGGUUCGGAAUAACUCAGAGAAAUUUGAGCUAAUACCGGAUAAUGUCUUCGGACCAAAGAUUUAUCGCCUUUGGAUGGGCCCGCGUAGGAUUAGAUAGUUGGUGGGGUAAUGGCCUACCAAGUCGACGAUCCUUAGCUGGUCUGAGAGGAUGAUCAGCCACACUGGGACUGAGACACGGCCCAGACUCCUACGGGAGGCAGCAGUGGGGAAUAUUGGACAAUGGGCGAAAGCCUGAUCCAGCAAUGCCGCGUGAGUGAUGAAGGCCUUAGGGUUGUAAAGCUCUUUUACCAGGGAUGAUAAUGACAGUACCUGGAGAAUAAGCUCCGGCUAACUCCGUGCCAGCAGCCGCGGUAAUACGGAGGGAGCUAGCGUUGUUCGGAAUUACUGGGCGUAAAGCGCACGUAGGCGGCUUUU
rnacentral:rRNA from 1 species